AGCAAUACGGAGUGGCAGACGGGUGAGUAACGCGUGGGAACAUGCCCUUCGGUUCGGAAUAACUUGAGGAAACUUGAGCUAAUACCGGAUACGCCCUUACGGGGAAAGAUUCAUCGCCGAAGGAUUGGCCCGCGUCCGAUUAGCUAGUUGGUGAGGUAAUGGCUCACCAAGGCGACGAUCGGUAGCUGGUCUGAGAGGAUGAUCAGCCACAUUGGGACUGAGACACGGCCCAAACUCCUACGGGAGGCAGCAGUGGGGAAUAUUGGACAAUGGGCGCAAGCCUGAUCCAGCCAUGCCGCGUGAGUGAUGAAGGCCUUAGGGUUGUAAAGCUCUUUUACCCGGGAAGAUAAUGACUGUACCGGGAGAAUAAGCCCCGGCUAACUUCGUGCCAGCAGCCGCGGUAAUACGAAGGGGGCUAGCGUUGUUCGGAUUUACUGGGCGUAAAGCGCACGUAGGCGGAUUCUUAAGUCAGGGGUGAAAUCCCGAGGCUCAACCUCGGAACUGCCUUUGAUACUGGGAAUCUUGAGUUCGGGAGAGGUGAGUGGAACUGCGAGUGUAGAGGUGAAAUUCGUAGAUAUUCGCAAGAACACCAGUGGCGAAGGCGGCUCACUGGCCCGAUACUGACGCUGAGGUGCGAAAGCGUGGGGAGCAAACAGGAUUAGAUACCUGGUAGUCCACGCCGUAAACUAUGGAUGCCAGCCGUUAGGCAGCUUGCUGUUUAGUGGCGCAGCU
rnacentral:rRNA from 1 species